AUGCAUGUCUAAGUAUAAGCAACUAUACAGUGAAACUGCGAAUGGCUCAUUAAAUCAGUUAUCGUUUAUUUGAUAGUACCUUACUACUUGGAUAACCGUGGUAAUUCUAGAGCUAAUACAUGCUAAAAACCCCGACCUCCGGAAGGGGUGUAUUUAUUAGAUAAAAAACCAAUGCCUUCGGGCUUGUUGGUGAUUCAUGAUAACUAAACGAAUCGCAUGGCCUUGCGCCGGCGAUGGUUCAUUCAAAUUUCUGCCCUAUCAACUUUCGAUGGUAGGAUAGUGGCCUACCAUGGUUUCAACGGGUAACGGGGAAUUAGGGUUCUAUUCCGGAGAGGGAGCCUGAGAAACGGCUACCACAUCCAAGGAAGGCAGCAGGCGCGCAAAUUACCCAAUCCCGACUCGGGGAGGUAGUGACAAUAAAUACUGAUACAGGGCUCUUUUGGGUCUUGUAAUUGGAAUGAGUACAAUUUAAAUCCCUUAACGAGGAACAAUUGGAGGGCAAGUCUGGUGCCAGCAGCCGCGGUAAUUCCAGCUCCAAUAGCGUAUAUUAAAGUUGUUGCAGUUAAAAAGCUCGUAGUUGAACCUUGGGCCUGGCUGGCCGGUCCGCCUAACCGCGUGCACUGGUUCGGCCGGGCCUUUCCUUCCGGCUAGCCUCAUGCCCUUCACUGGGUGUGCUGGGGAUCCGGGACUUUUACUUUGAAAAAAUUAGAGUGUUCAAAGCAGGCCUACGCUCGAAUACAUUAGCAUGGAAUAAUAGAAUAGGACGGCGGUUCUAUUUUGUUGGUUUCUAGAGCCACCGUAAUGAUUAAUAGGGAUAGUCGGGGGCAUCAGUAUUCAAUUGUCAGAGGUGAAAUUCUUGGAUUUAUUGAAGACUAACUACUGCGAAAGCAUUUGCCAAGGAUGUUUUCAUUAAUCAGUGAACGAAAGUUAGGGGAUCGAAGACGAUCAGAUACCGUCGUAGUCUUAACCAUAAACUAUGCCGACUAGGGAUCGGGCGGUGUUUAAUUUAUGACCCGCUCGGCACCUUACGAGAAAUCAAAGUCUUUGGGUUCUGGGGGGAGUAUGGUCGCAAGGCUGAAACUUAAAGGAAUUGACGGAAGGGCACCACCAGGAGUCAGCCGCAAGGUUCUGCUCCUUAAAGCCUGAAAAUCGGUGGUGUAUCCUGUACGGCUAGUCCGCUGCGGCGGGCGACACGCCCAAAUUGCGGGGAGGUCCUAAGGCCUCGGACACCAAGUCGGCGCCGAAAGGCCCGGCCGGUAACAGUUCCGAGGAUACUGCAAUGGAAGAUCCGCAGCCAAGCCCCUAAACCCCUCUGAUAAUUCAGGGGGGCACGGGGAAGGUUCAGAGACUAGAUGGGCGUGGACGGGGAACUUUUCUCCCCGCCUAAGGUAUAGUCCGCCAUGGCGCCGCGAGGCGCCGCGACUCAACAGCAGUCCCUCAACCGGGAGCCUGCGGCUUAAUUUGACUCAACACGGGGAAACUCACCAGGUCCAGACACAUUAAGGAUUGACAGAUUGAGAGCUCUUUCUUGAUUAUGUGGGUGGUGGUGCAUGGCCGUUCUUAGUUGGUGGAGUGAUUUGUCUGCUUAAUUGCGAUAACGAACGAGACCUUAACCUGCUAAAUAGCCAGGCAAGCUUUCGCUUGCGGUUGGCUUCUUAGAGGGACUAUCGGCUCAAGCCGAUGGAAGUUUGAGGCAAUAACAGGUCUGUGAUGCCCUUAGAUGUUCUGGGCCGCACGCGCGCUACACUGACGGGGCCAACGAGUAUAAUCCUUGGCCGAAAGGUCUGGGUAAUCUUGUUAAACCCCGUCGUGCUGGGGAUAGGGCAUUGCAAUUAUUGCCCUUCAACGAGGAAUUCCUAGUAAGCGCAAGUCAUCAGCUUGCGUUGAUUACGUCCCUGCCCUUUGUACACACCGCCCGUCGCUACUACCGAUUGAAUGGCUCAGUGAGGCCUUCGGAUUGGCUCAGGGAGGGGGGCAACCCCCACCCAGAGCCGAGAAGUUGGUCAAACUUGGUCAUUUAGAGGAAGUAAAAGUCGUAACAAGGUUUCCUUCCCUGGGGAGUACGCCUCCGGAAGCCUUGGACAGCGUGACCGGCACGCUAGUCGGCACCAAGUUUUUCUUUUUGCCGGCGACACCGUCGAAUUGCGGGGAUACCCUGACGGCCGCGAGACCUCCCGGCGCCUGAAAAGGCCCGGCACGGUAAAACUUCGCGGCAUAUGGCCUCCGGGCCGCUGGGCAAUCCGCAGCCAAAGCCUAAAGCCCUCCUUUGGGGCAACGGCCGAGGUUCACAGAUUAAGUGGCGGUGGGUUCUUUCCUGAGCCUAAGAUAUAAUCGGGUCCCGGCCGCGAGGCCGGGAAAACGUGCGAACGUAACUGUUCCGUAGGUGAACCUGCGGAAGGAUCAUUAGAAAUGGCGGGGCCUAAGAAGCCCGCAUGGAUAAAUGGUAAGCGUCGGAGCAGACAAUCCCGGGACGUCGACCGCGACUGGCUCCCGCUGAACC
rnacentral:rRNA from 1 species